rnacentral:rRNA from 1 species
UGGGGAAUAUUGCGCAAUGGGCGAAAGCCUGACGCAGCGACGCCGCGUGGGUGAUGAAGGCCUUCGGGUUGUAAAGCCCUGUCAGGGGGAACGAAUGGAGUGGCCAACUAAUAUGUGGCUGCUCUGACGGUACUCCCAAAGGAAGCACCGGCUAACUCUGUGCCAGCAGCCGCGGUAAGACAGAGGGUGCAAGCGUUGUUCGGAAUUACUGGGCGUAAAGGGCGCGUAGGCGGUUGCGUAAGUCGGAUGUGAAAUCCCUCGUUUCAAGCGGGGAACUGCAUUCGAAACUGCGCGACUCGAGUCUCGGAGAGGGAGAUGGAAUUCCCGGUGUAGAGGUGAAAUUCGUAGAGAUCGGGAGGAACACCAGAGGCGAAAGCGGUCUCCUGGACGAUGACUGACGCUGAGGCGCGAAAGCGUGGGGAGCAAACAGG